GACGAGGGAUCCUAGCGUUGUUCGGAAUCAUUGGGCGUAAAGCGGGUGUAGGUGGCUUUGUAAGUCGGGUGUGAAAGCCUGGGGCUUAACCCCAGAAGUGCAUUCGAUACUGCGAAGCUUGAGUGGUAGAGAGGAUAGUAGAAUUGUUGGUGUAGUGGUGAAAUACGUAGAUAUCAACAGGAAUACCGGUGGCGAAGGCGGCUAUCUGGCUACACACUGACACUCAGACCCGAAAGCGUGGGGAUCAAACAGG
rnacentral:rRNA from 2 species